rnacentral:rRNA from 1 species
GAUUAACGCUAGCGGCAGGCAUAACACAUGCAAGUUGAACGGGAUUAGGUUUAGCAAUAGACUUAUGAGAGUGGCGCACGGGUGCGUAACACGUAUGCAACCUGCCCCUGACAGGAGGAUAGCCUCUCGAAAGAGAGAUUAAUAUUCCAUAACAUAUAGGUUAAGCAUUUAAUUUAUAUCAAAGCUCCGGCGGUCAGGGAUGGGCAUGCGGCUGAUUAGGUAGUUGGUGAGGUAACGGCUCACCAAGCCGACGAUCAGUAGGGGGUCUGAGAGGAUGUCCCCCCACACUGGUACUGAGACACGGACCAGACUCCUACGGGAGGCAGCAGUAGGGAAUAUUGGUCAAUGGGGGCAACCCUGAACCAGCCAUGCCGCGUGCAGGAAGACUGCCCUAUGGGUUGUAAACUGCUUUUGUACGGGAAGAAAUCAAUCUACGUGUAGGUUGUUGACGGUACCGUGAGAAUAAGGAUCGGCUAACUUCGUGCCAGCAGCCGCCGUAAAAC